rnacentral:rRNA from 1 species
GACGAACGCUGGCGGCGUGCUUAACACAUGCAAGUCGAACGGAAAGGCCCCUUUGGGGGUACUCGAGUGGCGAACGGGUGAGUAACACGUGAGUAACCUGCCCUUGACUUCGGGAUAACUUCAGGAAACUGGGGCUAAUACCGGAUAGGAAUCCUUGCUGCAUGGUGGGGGUUGGAAAGCUUCGGCGGUUUUGGAUGGACUCGCGGCUUAUCAGCUUGUUGGUGGGGUAGUGGCUUACCAAGGCUUUGACGGGUAGCCGGCCUGAGAGGGCGACCGGCACAUUGGGACUGAGAUACGGCCCAGACUCCUACGGGAGGCAGCAGUGGGGAAUAUUGCACAAUGGGCGGAAGCCUGAUGCAGCAACGCCGCGUGCGGGAUGACGGCCUUCGGGUUGUAAACCGCUUUCAGCAGGGGCGAAGUUUGUGGUGACGGUACCUGCAGAAGAAGCACCGGCUAACUACGUG